rnacentral:rRNA from 1 species
CCUACGGGAGGCAGCAGUAGGGAAUCUUUCACAAUGGGCGAAAGCCUGAUGGAGCAACGCCGCGUGCAGGAUGAAGGCCUUCGGGUUGUAAACUGCUUUUAUAAGCGAGAAAUAUGAUGGUAACUUAUGAAUAAGGAUCGGCUAACUACGUGCCAGCAGCCGCGGUCAUACGUAGGAUCCGAGCAUUAUCCGGAGUGACUGGGGGUAAAGAGUGGCGUAGGUGGCAUAAUAAGUAGCUAGUGAAAUCUGGUGGCUCAACCAUUCAGACUAUUAGCUAAACUGUUAAGCUCGAGACCGUUAGAGGUAACUGGAAUUUCUAGUGUAGGGGUGAAAUCCGUAGAUAUUAGGAGGAACACCAAUGGCGUAGGCAGGUUGCUGGGACGGUUCUGACACUGAGGCACGAAAGCGUCGGGAGCAAACAGGAUUAGAUACCCUAGUAGUC